AACGAACGCUGGCGGCAUGCCUAACACAUGCAAGUCGAACGAGACCUUCGGGUCUAGUGGCGCACGGGUGCGUAACGCGUGGGAAUCUGCCCUUGGGUUCGGAAUAACAGUUGGAAACGACUGCUAAUACCGGAUGAUGACGUAAGUCCAAAGAUUUAUCGCCCAAGGAUGAGCCCGCGUAGGAUUAGCUAGUUGGUGAGGUAAAGGCUCACCAAGGCGACGAUCCUUAGCUGGUCUGAGAGGAUGAUCAGCCACACUGGGACUGAGACACGGCCCAGACUCCUACGGGAGGCAGCAGUGGGGAAUAUUGGACAAUGGGCGAAAGCCUGAUCCAGCAAUGCCGCGUGAGUGAUGAAGGCCUUAGGGUUGCAAAGCUCUUUUACCCGGGAUGAUAAUGACAGUACCGGGAGAAUAAGCGCCGGCUAACUCCGUG
rnacentral:rRNA from 1 species